rnacentral:rRNA from 1 species
CCUACAGGAGGCAGCAGUGGGGAAUAUUGCACAAUGGGGGGAACCCUGAUGCAGCGACGCCGCGUGAGUGAAGAAGUAUUUCGGUAUGUAAAGCUCUAUCAGCAGGGAAGAAAAUGACGGUACCUGACUAAGAAGCCCCGGCUAACUACGUGCCAGCAGCCGCGGUAAUACGUAGGGGGCAAGCGUUAUCCGGAUUUACUGGGUGUAAAGGGAGCGCAGACGGCUGUGCAAGUCUGGAGUGAAAGGCGGGGGCCCAACCCCCGGACUGCACUGGAAACUGUAAAGCUGGAGUGCAGGAGAGGUAAGCGGAAUUCCUAGUGUAGCGGUGAAAUGCGUAGAUAUUAGGAGGAACACCAGUGGCGAAGGCAGCUUACUAGACUGCAACUGACGUUGAGGCUCGAAAGCGUGGGGAGCAAACAGGAUUAGAUACCCCGGUAGUC